UCUUGAGCACCGCCGAGAGCAGUGGAAAGAAACCCCCGAAUCGCAUCGCCUCCUCCUCCCACGCCGGCCGGAAUCCUCCUCCGCAGCCGCCUACCUCAGUCGACCUCCUUCUUCCCCACGCCGAGCGAAAUAUCUCUCUCCGUGAACUCGUUCGAGGUCGGCGUUUGCGGGCGCGGGGGAGACGCAGGAGUAAGAGCAUCCGCGGCGACCGGAGAUCAAGGAGGAGGAAGGUGCGGGUGCGUUGAAGGCGAAUUCGCCGUCCUUCCGGCGCCGUGAGGUGACCUGCGCGCGGCGGAGCUGGGUCUCCACGCAGGUACCAUAGUUUAAGGGCAGAUGCACGUUGGUUACUGAAGAGAUCUGAAAUCUCUCUUAGAAAAAGAAAUAAGACAACUUCUUUGUUUCAGACUGGUCCUUUUGACCCGUGCUUCAAGGUUGAGUAGCGGCGGC